rnacentral:rRNA from 1 species
AUUGAACGCUGGCGGCAGGCUUAACACAUGCAAGUCGAGCGGGGUGAUGGUGCUAGCACUAUCACUUAGCGGCGGACGGGUGAGUAAUGCUUAGGAAUCUGCCUAUUAGUGGGGGACAACAUUUCGAAAGGAAUGCUAAUACCGCAUACGUCCUACGGGAGAAAGCAGGGGAUCUUCGGACCUUGCGCUAAUAGAUGAGCCUAAGUCAGAUUAGCUAGUUGGUGGGGUAAAGGCCUACCAAGGCGACGAUCUGUAGCGGGUCUGAGAGGAUGAACCGCCACACUGGGACUGAGACACGGCCCAGACUCCUACGGGAGGCAGCAGUGGGGAAUAUUGGACAAUGGGCAAAAGCCUGAUCCAGCCAUGCCGCGUGUGUGAAGAAGGCCUUUUGGUUGUAAAGCACUUUAAGCGAGGAGGAGGCUACCGAGAUUAAUACCCUUGGAUAGUGGACGUUACUCGCAGAAUAAGCACCGGCUAACUCUGUGCCAGCCGCCGCCGUAAGAC